CGCCGUCAUUAUCACCAUUAAACAGUAAUUGUUUUUUCCCUCCCAGCCAUCUUCCCCUGUUGACCUCUUUCCCAAAAAGAGAUCACCAUUUUUCCAUCACCAGAGGUUGGACCAACCAGUCCGUCGGUUUGUCCCCAGAGCCCAGUGUGCAACACCUGCUGGUUCUCCCCUUGGCAGUGCCUGCUCCCUUCCCCUCAGCAAAGCAAAGGAUCUGCUUGCCUCCCCUUUCCCUCCCGUUCACUUUAUCAGACACCGCGGUGCAUGUUCCUGAAGCAGUGCCUCCAUCGCGCCAUUCUCCCUGUUCAGAUACUUUCAUCGGCUUCGCCUUUGCUACAGGACAAAGCACCAACUCUCCAUCCUAGCAUCUAAGGCUUUCCCCAACCUGCCUCCGUGUCCUGGUCAGUCCGACCUUCCCCCAGUAACACUCCUCGACACAAAUCCUUAGCUCCCAUCAGUGUCCCUUGAAAACUCUAUACUCAUUCUUGCCCCUACAACUUUGUUUAUGCGCUAAAUCCUGCCUGGAAUAUUCUCCUCUUCCUUCUCCUUUCUAAAUUUUACAGCUCCUUUAAGACUCAACCAUGAAAGCCAGAGAAGACAGUUCCAGUUACUGAAUAUUUACAGGGUGCAAAGCAUUGUGCUAAGAUUGGGUUAAGAGGACGUGUUCCCUUCUGACACUGCAGGUAGAUGAUGCUGGCUCAAAGGUUUUUAGUGCCCUAAGCAAAUUGGAAAAUAUAUACUUCUUGUAACCCAUAGUUACUAAAAAUUUUUUGCUGCCCCUAACAUUUUGUUGCUCUAAAUCACUGUUCUGUUUACACGGUAAAAUUUGCCCUGUAUCAAGAUUAACUAAUGAAUAUCACUAUAAGAUCCUGCAGCCUUUAAUUGUUGGCUUUUUCAAUUUAUGUUUCUCUUUCAAUAUUUAUACUCAGAUGUUUUCAGUCAUCCUUAACAAAAUUCCUCCAAUAAAUCUGAACAAUAUAUAAACGA